GGUGGUUGCUAUCUGCUCAAGCAUAUGUGGUCGUUAAGAGUUAAGAAAUAUGGCCGAACUUCAAGACGCAAUGUAAAGAAGACUAUUAAGAAGGAAUAAGAUACAAGUAUGAAUCAUAUAUGUAGGGUAUAAAAUUUGGUAAAAAUUCAAUGUUGACCAUACGAACACUCGUAACCACUCAUAAACCUGCAAGCUAGAAGAACGACGGCCGGAAGCUAUAUACAUGAUUAUGCAAGGUUUAAUAAGCAAUUAUCAUAUGACAAGCAUCACUUCCGGUGAAAUGGCGGGCUGUGAUUGGCUGAGAAGCACUUUCAGCGGUCCAUUACGUAAAAAUGCAUUGGACCGGCGGUGCAUUACGUAAAAAUGCAUUUUAAAGCAAAACAGCAAAACUAAUUGAAAAUUUGAAAAUUAUAAUUUAAUUUGUUAUUAAUAAGAUAUCUGCGAAUGGUUUUUAGUGGAAAAGAAG